rnacentral:tRNA from 1 species
GCCUGGAUGGUGGAAUAGGUAGACACCUGGGACUUAAAAUCCCAUGGAGCGUAGCUCCGUGCGAGUUCGAUUCUCGCUCCAGGCACCA